rnacentral:rRNA from 1 species
CCUACGGGAGGCUGCAGUGGGGAAUAUUGGACAAUGGGGGGAACCCUGAUCCAGCCAUGCCGCGUGUGUGAAGAAGGCCCUCGGGUUGUAAAGCACUUUCAGUGAGGAAGAACGCCUGGUGGUUAAUACCCAUCAGGAAAGACAUCACUCACAGAAGAAGCACCGGCUAACUCCGUGCCAGCAGCCGCGGUAAUACGGAGGGUGCGAGCGUUAAUCGGAAUUACUGGGCGUAAAGCGCGCGUAGGUGGCUUGAUAAGCCGGUUGUGAAAGCCCCGGGCUCAACCUGGGAACGGCAUCCUGAACUGUCAAGCUAGAGUGCAGGAGAGGAAGGUAGAAUUCCCGGUGUAGCGGUGAAAUGCGUAGAGAUCGGGAGGAAUACCAGUGGCGAAGGCGGCCUUCUGGACUGACACUGACACUGAGGUGCGAAAGCGUGGGUAGCAAACAGGAUUAGAUACCCCUGUAGUC